CACGUAUACAACGGUAAUACGUAGCGCUGAACCCUGCCGUAGUUAGUUUAAUAAGUUUCGGGUCUAGACUACGUUGAACAGGUGACAUAUCUCGUUCUUUUCUUCUCUAACACGUCUGCCUUAGAGCGGGCCGGACUCGGAAAACCAAGACUGACUACCUCGUGGCCGCACUCAGGUUCCUCCGCCGCCCCUAUCAUCUACUCCCCCUUCUGGUUCUUAGAGGCCUCUACGUGUCCCCGCAGGAGAGGCUAUGUUGGGGAGUUUGGUCUCUACAAAGUAAGGCUCCAUCUACGUCUCAGCCCCUCUGCCCGGGGGGCUAGUCACGAAGUGAACCGCGGUACUCUUGGGAACAGACCUUCGACCUGUACGACGACGAUCGCGGAGGAGGCCCUACGAGGAGGCUCUCACAGUUCGAAUUCUACGUCGAGGAGUUUCUUCUAUAACUUCUCUAUUCGUGGACGGAACUACGUGACAGUGUUGACCUCCUGGGAGGGGUCUGCCGGUCCACGACCUACUUACUCCACGCGCUAGACAGAAUGUUGUACCUCCUAAUGUAGCUGUCGGAUAUGCACGUCCGACGUCUGGGGAGGAAGUAACGGCUAUUGUAGUUCUAGUGGUCUAGGGUGGUGUUUACCGAUUCAGUACAGUCCCGUGGGUUCUUCGAAUGCACCCUACUCGUCUAACACCCUAGUCAUAGUCUUAAGUCCUGUAUACAACCGCUGCGCUACUUUGCUGUGUCCUACAUACCAGAUUAAAAAAAAUCGUGGAACUCCGUAUGUGAACACGGACAACCGGUAUACGAAGGUUGCGGUUGUGGCAUACUUCAUUGUAGACUGUAUCAUUAGUUACUGGCGUACUUACUCAAAUAAUUGAGUGACUGAUUGCUACCGCGGCUAGUCGUCGUCGAGUUCCACCAUAGACAAGACCCUAGACGAACAGAACCAUUUUGAUGUAAACGAUCUCACAACAUGUUGUCCUAACCCAACGUUAAACUAACGGCUCGAAAGUAAGCUCACAGGUUUUUGGGACUAUACUUCUUUUAAAAGACCCUGUACGAGAACGUUAACUUCGCCGUCGUCACGGGUGGUGUCAUAAAAUUCCUCCAACUAGAGUAAUUAUACUAUUUUUUAAUAGAGGUUCUGUUUUCCAUAAAGUAAUAAUAACUACUAGACACCAGACGUAGUCAUACCCUAUAAUAGUUAGCACGGGAAGGCUUCCCAUCAGUACCGUCGUCUUAUUAUUGGUGAUGUGUCUAUCUUCUACAACGAAAGUCUACAACGGCAAUAGUCAGUCUCGAACAAAAACUCUACUUUGGGGAUCUACUAGUAGUGAGUUCUUUCGAUAAGAAAUUGUCUGACAAACCGAAACUUUCACUAACGGGACUUGUCAAGUUUCUCUAAAAUUUACUUUAACAACUUUAUACACCACCAAACGGUGAACGUUGUCAGUCGUAUCGAUCAGAAAAUCGUUCGGUCGGACGGGACUGUUAACUAGAUAACUGUAUGUAGGUAGUCAGUAACUCGAGAGAAAAGAGCCGCUUAGGAUGGAGUCUUUCUUGGUCUGUUCGUGACUUAGAGUCGAAGGUGUUAGAAGGAGUUACGAACUUCUGUACAAACGAAAUAGAAUCAUACAUAGUUCUCCCGAUGUGUAAGAUGUUCCUACUAAACCACUUCGUUACCUACCGACUUCCGAAGUAGCUAUGUUGUCUUCCCGUUCUACACCUCUUUGAACGUCUCUCGAUAGAGUUAGUUGAAUAGUCAUCUUCUAAGUAGGUUGGAUAUGCAUAGUUGAAGUUGUUACUCCACAACAGUACACGUCAAGUACUACAACACGUACUAUAAUAGUGUGUCUUCAGGCGUCUUCUCUUAAAGCAACAACGUUAUCUGAUGUUACUUCUAUUGCGUCUAGAAAUAGUGUUGCGGGCAGCUGAGUGAGAAGAGAAACCGUUACGUUCUAUAUGGUUCUGUGGUUGUUCUUCGUAGUGUCUCAGCGUUCAAGCCAGUGAGUGAAAAAAACCUAAUAAACUCAGAUACGGAUCAUGAUUUCUUAAGUUCAAAGAAGCACAAGAUUUGGAAGUGUAUAGACCAAUACCACCGAGGUUUCUUGAGCCAGUACUGCUGUUGGGACAUCUGGAGUCACACUAAAGUCUUGACAGAGUUAACUCUAUAAACUUCUAACGAAGAUUAGAGACACAUUUUAACGGUCUGAUAUACCCUCCCGACGUAACAAACCUCUGUGACCUAUAAUACCUACGUCAUGAGGAAUUUGAAUCUUAGCCACAGACAGAGGGUAUGAACAACGUGAACAUAGAGUCAGAGGUAGUACUCUCUUUAGACGUCUUAACCUAACUGCUCUAUAACCUUCAAUUGUCCUACUUUGUGGACGUCCUAGAAGCACAAUGGAAAAGAAGACCCGUCAGAAGGAGAGUCCUUUUUUUAUACAAUUAAGACUCCAUAAAAUACUCGCCUGUACUUUUGGACUUUUGAUAUCAUCAACGAACACUGAGGAGUCUGUUCCAAUAACUACCGCGAAGUCUACGUAGGUAAAGUACCCUACUGUACCAUGGAGGGGGUGAGGAGGUCUCUAAACUUAAGAGCGCCGUGUCUCCGACGUAUAAGAGUGUUUAUGGAGGCACCCAACUCUUUGUGUUCUUGGACUCGUAAAACUUCUAACGACACUUCCUUGAAUUCUACUAAACACAACCAUAAGAGCCUCCUAACGGAAGGGAGUGCAGAGACAGCGACCCGCAUCUCUGCCGGGGGCAACCGUUCUAGUAGAAAUUGCACCGUCCCAAGAGUCAAGAGUUCAUGAAGUCCUACUGCAAGUACUGACCAUAUCGAACCGAUUUUAAACUCCUCCUACGUUACGGAUUAGAGAACUUCGAGUUCGAUCAAAAGUUACGGUUCAGGGCUGACCUGGCUGCAGUUGUACCAUGACGGUUAUAAUGUUAGUUAGUAUACGGUUCGGAAUUUCUCCAGAGGCAUUUUAAACCCACACGUCGACGACUAUAUCUCAUACGAAACUCCUGGAAACAAUCAUUAGUAGGCUCGUUAGGAUGUUAGUCGUACGUUGGUCACCUAAAAUCAAGAACACCUCUCUUUUUGUGUUUUGCCUUUGUAGUUGACCUACCCCAACACCUCCUCCUUGGUCUACUUAUGAUGUUUGUUGUUGGUCUACUCUAAGUCGUCGUACUUGGUCAACUUAUAAUGUUUGUGGUUGGCCUAUUCUAACGCCUCCUUCUUGGUCAACUUAUGCUGUUCUUUGACCUCUCUGGUCGUCUCUUUUCCUAAAGUUCCGGUGGCCUCAGGAGAAGCGCAGACGUACUAGGUCGACAGGUGAACAGUCUCUUUCUCCGAGCUCCCCCUCUUCCGCUGUCCUCAGUUAGGUAGGUCGACCUACAUUUGUUCCACCCGGACGUACUCAAGUGGAACCUGCACGAGUCCAGGCGGUGGUCGUUGAAGAGCUUCCUUUUGGAAGAGUUGGGCCUUCUUGAGGUGGGAUUGUAGAUGUUCCCGCGGGAACUCCCGUGACAGUACCAGUAGUAGUGUUUUAAGUUGAAGUCGAACGGGAGUCUGAACUUCAUAGAACUCUACUACGUGGUAGGAGUAGAUCACUUCAACGACCCGAUGACGUUGGUUCUCACGUCAUAUGAGCAGGUGCUCAUGUACGGGUCCCCGCUGGAGUUCGUAGUGAAGAACCUCUGGUUAGAGUAACCCAGCAAUCGUACCGAUUGUGCCGAGUUCUAGCGACAGCCUCGCCGGUUCCCCGACCGAAAAGAUGUGCUCAGUCCGCUCGUCUACUACAUGAUGUCACCAAAGUGCCGAAGAUCGUAAGACGAACUGAGCCUAAUGUGUCGCUUCGACACCCCGAAACCCUACCCCUUAUUCCUACUGAGGUGCCACGGUCGGUCUUAUUUCUCGCUGCACAUGUUGAAACCACACCACGACGAUGUUGACAACCUGGGCUCUUACCUCUCCGUUAUGAGCGCCAGCCGUCGCACCUCGUGACACUUCCAGCGCGCGGCCACGAACGUCUCGUUCGCGUUCAUGGUCGGAGUGUACGCGUUGCAGCACUUUCGGGAACUCGGCGACGAGUUGCUACUGUCGUGGCCGUUCGUCGUCAGUUUCUUUUGAUUAAAGAAUGCCACGAAAUAACCAUCGUUUUGACCACCUUAACCCCUCCUUCUCGUGCAAUUUCAUAGGUUUGUAGAACACCUACCCCGUCAUUUACUCUUUCCCUUUUGAUUCUGCUACCUGCCCCGUCAUUUACUCUUUCCGUUUUGAUUCUACUAGCUUUUUCUCGGUCUGCUCAUGAUGUUUGUUGUCGGUUGUUUACUGUACCUGUACAACCUUCUCGGUCUGCUCAUGCCUUGUGUGCGUCUGUAAACCUUGGUCCGUGAUUGACCCGCGAUCUACGCGGACCUUAGACUAGGCGCGCUAUAGUCGAGUAGGCAAGGACUGGUACAUGCUGUUGGACUUGUAACUAGAAAAACUGAUGAAGUACUGGCGCCCUAGUGGUGAACGGUGGAAGUUCCUUUGACGCAAAACGCAGUCUGUUUACGUGUUGGUACACGGCACUCUACCUCCUGAGUAGGAGGAAAAGGUGCGUUAGAGAUCUCGUUUCUAUUGACUUCGUUCACCAACCUCAAAUAAGGGGAGGGCAAACAUGCACUCGACCCAACACUACUAUAGAGAGUUGAUUCGUACGGUCUUAACCGACGUAUUAGUAUGUACAUGCUGAAGGAUCGCACUCACUCGUAGUUUCAAAAGGGACCGGCGUAUGGUCUCGACAGGUGAAAAAAAAAGAUCACGUUUCUUAUGGAUACCGGACGUGUGACUUAUAAGUAGUCCACAAGGACGAAGAGACUUACUAUACACGUCAACGCAAAGACUUCAAAUGUCCUCUACGAUCUUUAAACUACAAGAAACCUCUUCGAUGAAAUUAAUCAAACUACCAGAAAGUAAGUACUGUGACCAAUAGCGCACCCGACCAAACGUCUUCCUGUCGUUCUGACUUAAACAAAAAAGUACGUCUUGUCUAACGUGAGAUACGUAAAGUAUCGUGACACUACUAUGAGUAGCGAGCUGAAUACAAGGGAAACGUGGAUUACUACUUAACCUUAACCUAGUAGUCCACCACGACCCACACGGUCUGUCUGGCGAUACCAUAUACUCAAGAUUACUACCUUAUACCGGAGGCAGAGGACUUCUACUACUUUAAGAUGGUUGUUCAAGGAGGAGGGAUAUGAAACCGAAGAUCAUUUACUCAAACAAAGGUACAUAGGGUCAAACCACCCGAGAGACGGCAUUGUUUCGAGUGGUUCAUUACAUACAACAGUAUAUAAACCAGGACCAGCUGUAACUGCACAGGCUUAAAGUAUCUUAAAUAAAUGCUACUAGGAAAUAAGUCAAUGUCAAUGUCCUAGUGGGUAAACAUGCAACAACCGUUCACAAAAUAAACAUCUCAAACAAACAAGAAAAACCAAAGGUUUACCUGGUUCGUUAGUUACAAUAGUUAGUACAUAGUUCUUACCUACAACAUAUCUUCGAUGAUGACAUAAUACGUGCCUC
rnacentral:rRNA from 1 species